GGGCGGCCCAUCGGAUGUAUUUAAUGCAACCCACGGGUUCUUGCCUGUCUGUUCCCCAUUCGAUCCCCAAAUCGAGAGACGAAACCCUAGCCGCGCCGCACAACUUCCUUUACCAUAUCCCAAAUCGAAGCAGAUAUAACCGUAGCUUGCAAAGAUGGCAGAUCCAGGUGUUGACCAAGGUGCUCUGUCAGUCGUGCCUUGUCCGGAUUGCGGGAGGAACGUGGUGACAUACGUAGCGUAGCGCGGGCAGAAUGCCAGCCAGCGUUUCGACAAGUGCCGGAAUCACAAUCCGUCAGGGGGUGGAUGUGAUUUCUACAGGUGGGAGGAGGCCUACGCGGCCCAUGUCGCCACUCUUGGUCUUGGAGGAGCAACUCCUGUAGUUGGCCAAGUCGGGCCAGGUCAGAUGCAGGGCGGGCAGGCGGCUGGAGUUAGUAACUUUUGUUUGAUACCAAUGUCAGGGAGGUGCUGAUCUGCGUCCUCCAGUGUCAGGGAGGUGUUGAUCUGCGUUCUCCAAUGUCAGGGAGAUGAUCAACAGCAGGUAGGCUUUUUUGUGACAUCUGUGACAGUGACAUACUUCCGGCUCCGUAAAUGGUAAGGUGUCCGUGGGUACCGGGGUGAUAUCAGCAUAGCUGCAGCCAUAAAAACAGUGUGGACAGAAUGCUUAGAUAUAGUUUGAAACUUUAGGAGAGGUGCUAGAAAUAAAACACAGCUUGCAUGAGAUUGCUAACCCGCGUGUGCAGAAUCAUCGUCAGAAGGCAUGUUAGUGAAACAGAGAGCACAAGGCGCAAGGGGCAGGUGGCAUUUAUUGCAAUCAGGUUUUGCGCGGCUCCAGGAAGGGUAGGUGCUGGCAGCUUAGCUUCAGGAGUUUCCUCAACAUACUGAAGUUGUUGAUCCUUUGCUGGAAUGAUAUUCAGAGCACAUGAUCAUAGUGGUGUUUCUUUCAUUUUUAAAAAAAAUCAUGAGACGAUGUGAGUGGUGAUGAGUUGUUAAGUACAUGUUUGAGAGACUAUUCUAGCAAGCUGGAGAAGAGUGUGUGCGCAUGCAUUUGCAAGUGGUGAUUCUGGAGGAAGCUGUGUCUGCAGGGAUGUAUCAACAAGCGUGGAGGUUAAAUAUUGAGCAUGUGUGUACAAGUGCCAAUGGCAAUCAAAUGGAAACCAACAUGACUCAGGUGUUAUGAAUCUUGGUGUGGAAUCUGGGGCUCCAGUGCAGUUCUCUUUUCCUCUGCGUGCUUCUGCUAAUGCUUCUUCAUGACUCUGGGUUGAAGGUGCGCGACUCUGCUCUGCUGGCCUACCUGUAAAAAGCGAGGAGGGCGGACACAAGCAGUUAGUAACUUUUGUUUGAUACCAAUGUAUUCAAGUCAAAAGUGAGUUUUCGAUGGGAACGAACAUUGGGUAACAACAAGUGCUGUCUUGGCGCUGACCAAGGGGCUUGGAGCUAGAUGCACAUGUUGAUUGUCAAGCGAGCAUUUUCUGCCUCGGCAAUCCUGUUUGUGAACUCCUUGUACAUAACAGUAGCAGCUGCAUCUAGAUUGCCACAAAUCUGAUUAACAAGAGCUUUGCACCUCUCUUGGUGUUCAGGCGAUAACACUUUGCCAGGGGCACGUGAUUAUCAGCAAAAUGCAGCACAGCGGAUCGGAUCCGAUUGCAGACGUCGGAGGUAAUAUAUUGAUAAGCAGUAGUCUUCACUUUUUGAAUUGGAAUCAUGGAUCCUUGGAGUAGAAUUGGAUGAAUAUACCAUCGACCUUCAUGCAUUGCCCGCAGUGAUCUUGUCUUUUUUUACGUGCAGUAGGAAUUUUAGUUAGUUUUUUUUACAAUGUAAGCAUUGGGUAAUGUAGAAAUGACAUGAAACAGGGGAGGCACUUAUUUUGUUUCUGUUUGAGUGUCAUGUUUCAGUUUUUGUUAUACAUGUAUUCACACCUAGAUGGGGAUAUGUGCUAGUGAAGUGAAAUAAUUACUUAAAGAGCAGCCACAAACUA